ACAACAUCCGGACCGUCGGUCGACCGAGCAAAUAUCACACGCUCGGUGGAAGAUCUUUCCCUACGUCGA
rnacentral:pre_miRNA from 1 species